GUUUAUUAUUGAGCAUAUAUUUAAAUUCUAACAAUACAGAGAGCAUUAGCAUGCUCCUCCCAGCGCAAGGACGACACGCAAAUUUACGAAACAUUCCAGAAUUGC
rfam:Dictyocaulus viviparus strain HannoverDv2000 D_viviparus-1.0_Cont227.8, whole genome shotgun sequence.